AAAAGAUUUGAGGUGAGACUGGGGACAAGCCACACUUCGUCAGUGUUACGGUGGCGAGUAGAACAUUUGAUCGUGGGCUAACUGCCAGACCUAUCUCAAAACCAUAUAUUAAGGCCCGAAACUCAUGGGCAUCGUAGCCAGUGGAACCAGCCCAAUCCAUAGAAGGAAGAAAGUUGUGAUUGCAGAUUGCAGUGGUUUGUUCUUUCGGCAUUCGGAGGAGGACCGGAAAGAGUAAAAACCGCAGAGGGAGAAGAUGAUAUACAGAAAAUGGAGUCUCCUGACGGGCCCAGUGGCAAUCUUGGGCGGGAUCGUCGCUGCCGUGGUUGCCGCCAACUUACUUUUCGUUAAGGAUGAUCCAUUUCUUAAACCAAAGCAAAGGAACCCAGAUUCACCACCAUCAACCAAAUAGAACAGAAGCAAAGCGAAUCGCAUUAUGAAUGUGUUGUAAGCUUGUCUGGCGGUUUGUGUUUCUCGAAUAUGUUUCAGUCAAACAAAUGUUUAAGCUGCAGUUUGGUACAAGGUUUCUUAGAUCAAUAAUAUGGAGAUUCAUGAUCAAGUUCAGUAA